CGGCUUUGACAGCGAGAGGUCAAAUCGACUAAAUUCAAAGAUACAAUUUUACAGUCAUGAUGUGACAAAUUUUUAAUAUGGUGUAAAAUUUAUUCUAAUAUUAAAUGUGUUAAGUUCCAGUAUUUCCCCAAAUAGGGGACCAAGUCUGGGGUUGGAGUCGGAACCUACCAACCUGAAUUCGCAUGCUCCGCUUCGUUCCGGAAGGUUCCCGUGCUGGAUCCGGAACCCUUUUUUUGAAGACGGCCACCUCCAAGUUCGACGUUCUGCGACGUAGUGCAGGGAAGUGACCCCUAUCAAGGACUCGUUUCACCACUGUUAAUUGCCAGCUCAGAAAAGAUCCACGACCUUGUCUUUCCUUUAGUUUUUUUUAUUUUUUUAAAAUUAUAUUUCGUAAAAUUUAC